rnacentral:rRNA from 1 species
CAGCCGCCACGGUAAUACGAAGGGGGCUAGCGUUACUCGGAAUUACUGGGCGUAAAGGGCGCGUAGGCGGCACGAUUAGUCAGGCGUGAAAUUCCUGGGCUCAACCUGGGGACUGCGCUUGAUACGGUCGAGCUAGAGGAUGGAAGAGGGUCGUGGAAUUCCCAGUGUAGAGGUGAAAUUCGUAGAUAUUGGGAAGAACACCGGUGGCGAAGGCGGCGACCUGGUCCAUUACUGACGCUGAGGCGCGACAGCGUGGGGAGCAAACAGGAUUAGAUACCCGAGUAGUCCCUGUAUCUUAUAC